GAUGAACGCUAGCGGCAGGCCUAAUACAUGCAAGUCGGACGGGAUCCAUCGGAGAGCUUGCUCGAAGAUGGUGAGAGUGGCGCACGGGUGCGUAACGCGUGAGCAACCUACCUCUAUCAGGGGGAUAGCCUCUCGAAAGAGAGAUUAACACCGCAUAAUAUAAUCUUCCGGCAUCGUUAGAUUAUUAAAUAUUUAUAGGAUAGAGAUGGGCUCGCGUGACAUUAGCUAGUUGGUAAGGUAACGGCUUACCAAGGCUACGAUGUCUAGGGGCUCUGAGAGGAGAAUCCCCCACACUGGUACUGAGCCACGGACCAGACUCCUACGGGAGGCAGCAGUAAGGAAUAUUGGUCAAUGGGCGGAAGCCUGAACCAGCCAUGCCGCGUGCAGGACGACUGCCCUAUGGGUUGUAAACUGCUUUUGUCCAGGAAUAAACCUAAAUACGUGUAUUUAGCUGAAUGUACUGGAAGAAUAAGGAUCGGCUAACUCCGUGCCAGCCGCCGCCGUAAUAC
rnacentral:rRNA from 1 species